AGUGAACGCUGGCGGUAGGCCUAACACAUGCAAGUCGAACGGCAGCACAGUAAGAGCUUGCUCUUACGGGUGGCGAGUGGCGGACGGGUGAGGAAUACAUCGGAAUCUACUUUUUCGUGGGGGAUAACGUAGGGAAACUUACGCUAAUACCGCAUACGACCUACGGGUGAAAGCAGGGGAUCUUCGGACCUUGCGCGAUUGAAUGAGCCGAUGUCGGAUUAGCUAGUUGGCGGGGUAAAGGCCCACCAAGGCGACGAUCCGUAGCUGGUCUGAGAGGAUGAUCAGCCACACUGGAACUGAGACACGGUCCAGACUCCUACAGGAGGCAGAAGUGGAGAAUAUUGGACGAUGGGCGCAAGCCUGAUCCAGCCAUACCGCGUGGGUGAAGAAGGCCUUCGGGUUGUAAAGCCCUUUUGUUGGGAAAGAAAAGCAGCAGGUUAAUACCCCGCUGUUCUGACGGUACCCGAAGAAUAAGCACCGGCUAACUUCGUG
rnacentral:rRNA from 1 species